rnacentral:rRNA from 1 species
AUUGCGCAAUGGGCGAAAGCCUGACGCAGCGACGCCGCGUGAGGGAUGAAGGUCUUCGGAUCGUAAACCUCUGUCAGCAGGGAAGAACGGUCACUGUGCUAAUCAGCAGUGAAUUGACGGUACCUGCAAAGGAAGCACCGGCUAACUCCGUGCC